rnacentral:tRNA from 1 species
UGCGGAGUCGUCCAACUGGCAGGACGCCGGCCUUUGAAGUCGGAUAUUUUGGUUCGAAUCCAAACUCCGCAG